rnacentral:rRNA from 1 species
CCUACGGGAGGCAGCAGUGGGGAAUUUUGGACAAUGGGGGCAACCCUGAUCCAGCCAUUCCGCGUGAGUGAAGAAGGCCUUCGGGUUGUAAAGCUCUUUCGCAAGGGAAGAAAACUUAUGAUCGAAUAAAUCAUGAGGUUGACGGUACCUUGAUAAGAAGCACCGGCUAACUACGUGCCAGCAGCCGCGGUAAUACGUAGGGUGCGAGCGUUAAUCGGAAUUACUGGGCGUAAAGCGUGCGCAGGCGGUUUUGUAAGUCGGAUGUGAAAUCCCCGGGCUCAACCUGGGAACUGCGUUCGAAACUGCAAGGGCUAGAGUGUGUCAGAGGGGGGUAGAAUUCCACGUGUAGCAGUGAAAUGCGUAGAGAUGUGGAGGAAUACCAAUGGCGAAGGCAGCCCCCUGGGAUAACACUGACGCUCAUGCACGAAAGCGUGGGGAGCAAACAGGAUUAGAUACCCUGGUAGUCCACGCCCUAAACGAUGUCAACUAGUUGUUGGUAGAGUAAAAUCUAUGAGUAACGUAGCUAACGCGUGAAGUUGACCGCCUGGGGAGUACGGUCGCAAGAUUAAAACUCAAAGGAAUUGACGG